UUGCCGUGAUGGCCGCCGCCGAGGCAGGGAGUUGAGGGUUUCUGCCUUUCGGAGGGUUUGGGGGGCUGUCGGUCCCGUUAGAAGGCCACCAACAGCCCCCCAGGUUGCCAAGGGCCUGUUAGUUGUGUUCCUGGAAGAAGGUGGAGUCUUUUCACUUCCUUGAAUCUGAGUGGAUCCUUCGACUGUUUUGACCAAGACUAUGUGGUAGAAGCGAAGUUCCAGUUCCAGGUAUUGCUCUUAUUUCACCUGACAAGUUUGGUUUCCUGCCUUUUGGAAGCUGACCACUAUGUUAGAAAUGUAAUCACCCUGAAAUCACUAUGUCGUGAGAAACCCAAAGGCAAGUGAAGAAGCCCUGGAGGAUGCGACAUCAAGUGUAGAGGCAAAAGAGCACCAAGGAAGAGGCCAAAGAACACUAAGUGAAGAAGCCAUUUUGAAAAUGGAUCCUCCAGCCCCAGCUGCCCUAGUUGUUACGUAAAUCAGAUAAAUUGCCCAGUGGUACCCUUCCCAAUUUCUGCCCCAUAAAAUCAUGAGCCAAAUAAAAUGGUUUGUUUUAAGCUUCUAAGGUUGUGGGUGGUUUGUUUUGCCAUGACAGAUAACAGGAACAAAUACUGGGGGAAAAUUUUUGUUUGAUAAUGGGUACAAUUUGCUUGUCUAAAUCUGAUAAGGAACUAGUAUCUACAAUAAGUAAG
rnacentral:lncRNA from 1 species